GCCGGGGUAGCCUAACGGUUAGGGCGCCUGACUGUGGAUCAGGAUGUCCGGGUUCGAUUCCCGGCCCCGGUA
rnacentral:tRNA from 1 species